ensembl:snRNA U6 U6 spliceosomal RNA
GUGCUUGCUUUAGCAGCUCAUAUACUAAAAUCGGAACGACACAGACGAGAUUAGCAUGAACCCUGUGCAAGGAUGACAUGCAAAUUCGUGAAGCGUUUCCAUAUUUU